UCUCAGCCUUCUUUCUACUUGCUGUAGCUCAGAGUUACUCCACACUGCAGAUAUGACGCCUCUGUUCAUCUCAGUGCUGCUGGCUGCUAUGAGCCUUGAAUGCAGAGCACAACAAGACAACGUGCUGCAACCAACAGGAGAUGUGACUGCUACUGAAGGAGAGGCAGUAACACUUGGCUGUCAAUAUAACAGCAGUUCAUCUAAUGAUUAUCUCUUCUGGUACAAACAGGAUGAAAACAACAGCCCCAAAUUCAUUCUGAUGCGCGUUCAAGGGGAUGAAGGGAACACACCAGACGAGUUCAGGGACAGAUUUUCAUCUACACACAAUUCCAAGUUAAAGUCAGUUCCUCUGAAGAUCUCCUCAGCUAAGCUGUCUGACUCUGCUGUGUACUACUGUGCUCUGCAG